rnacentral:tRNA from 1 species
GAGGGUGUAGCUCAGUGGUAGAGCACAUGCUUAGCAAGCACGAAAUCCUGUAUUCAAUCCCCAAUACCUCCA